rnacentral:lncRNA from 14 species
GUUAGGGUAGAGGAGGCUCCAGUAGGGGCUGGCGGCUUGCACAAAACUGCACCCUCCCCCCUUUUAGUGGACUCUGCUGAGGCCUGUGGAUCCCGCCAAAUCCCAUUCUCGGACCCUAGUCCUAGCUUUUGUCCCCCGAGUUGUGAUCUAGGGACUUGGCACUAGGUGUUGCCUGACAGGAUCUCGGAACGUGUUCAGGGACCGGACGUCUCGGGGUGGAGAUCCUGCUCUUCGCCAACUCUGCCACCCCAGACCUCUUGGGAUCGUGCUCUUUGGGCUCUGGACCCCAUGGCUGAUAAGAAACUGGUGGUGGUUUUUGGAGCCACAGGUGCGCAAGGUGGCUCGGUGGCACGUACACUGCUGGAAGAUGGGACAUUCAGGGUUCGAGUGGUAACAAGGAACCCUGAGCAGAAAGCAGCGAAAGAGCUGAAGCGGCAGGGUGCCGAGGUAGUGCGAGGAGACCAGGACGAUGCAGCUAGCAUGGAGCUGGCCCUGACUGGAGCUUAUGCCACCUUCAUUGUGACCAAUUACUGGGAGAAUUGCAGCCAGGACCAAGAAGUGCAGCAGGUAAAGUGUGAGGAGGGCAGGGCUUGGUACACUGUGCCUCAGACAAGGCCUCUGGUCCCCAGUUGAUCCAGAAGGCAGCUCUGAUCUGCCAGGGAGGGCGGAGCAUUGCAGGCCCUGCUCUUUUCCUUACUGUUCUGUAAAUUGAUGGAGGACACACCCUCUCCCUAGCUAGUGAACCCUCGUGGGGACAAACUACAUGCAUACCACAGCACUUGGGACAAAGAUCUGGUUGAAACAGAUUCGUCUCCUUAAUCCUGGGAAACUCUUGUGAGCUCCCUAGGGCCGUGAUAACUAUACUCCGGGUAUUCAAAACCACAGUUCUCACAGUUUUAAAAGCUGAAGAUCACGGUCCUUUGUAGAGCUUGAGGAGGAAUGCUUCUUCAAUGUUCUGUGGUGCUAGGUGUGACUAAGUAUGGCUGUGUCACACCAAUAUCUGCUUCCACAUUCUCAUGGCUGCUUCCUGUUUUAUUCUGGUAGGGAGGGGUAAGGCCAGGUUUUGCU